GUUUAGAUGAGAAAUCCGCUCUUUGCUCAGCCACUGAAAAGCAACUGGAGGAAUGUCUCGAGUUGAUGGAACAGAUGGAGUUGGAGGCUCGUGAUCAGCCGGCUCCCCUGAGAGUCCGAGCCACGGCUCAAACUCGAAGUCUCCGCACAGAGCUGAGCUCCCUUGAGGCUGACUACAAGCGAUCUCGCAUCGCCUACAGCGAUGAGCUCUCUGUGAGGGAGAAGUUGCUAAGCAGUGAUGGAAAAACAUCAUCACAUGGACAGAGGUCCCUGUUGCUAGGCAACACAGAGAGGUUGGAGUCAGCGAGUAGCCAUCUGGAGGCCGGAUACAGAACGGUGGUGGAGACUGAACAAAUUGGACAAGACAUUCUUGACAAUCUCCAUCGGGAUAGAGAAACUAUUCAGAGAGCAAGAGAGAGGCUAAGAGAGACAGACUCUCACCUGGGUAAAAGUUCAAGAGUUCUGUCUGGAAUGAUGCGCAGGUAAGAGAUCAGGUUGAUACAGAACCGAGUGAUCCUCAUGGCGGUUGCCGUGGCGACCCUCAUCGUCAUCAUCAUCGCCGUCUACUUCUCUGUCCGCUAGGCCACGCCUAGGCCUCUGCUAGGCCUGGCCAGGCCUCACCUAGGCCUCCAGCCCUCACCUAGGCCUCUCCUAGGCCUGACAAGGCAUCUCCUAGGCCUGGCUAGGCCUGGUAAGGCCUCUCCUAGGCCUCUACUAGGUCUGGCUAGGCUUCUCCUAGGCCUGGCAAGGCGUCUCCUAUGCCUUGCUAGGCCUCUCCUAGGCCUGGCCAGGCCUCUCCUAGACCUGGCUAGGCCUCUGCUAGGCCUGGUGAGGCCUCUCCUAGACCUGGCUAGGCCUCUGCUAGGCCUGGCUAGGCCUCUGCUAGGCCUAGCCAGGCCUCUCCUAGACCUAGCUAGGCCUCUCCUAGACCUCUGCUAGACCUAGCCAGGCCUCUCCUAAACCUGGCUAGGCCUCUCCUAGACCUAGCUAGGCCUCUCCUAGACCUGGCUAGGCCUCUGCUAGGUCUGGCUAGGCCUCUGCUAGGCCUAGCCAGGCCUCUCAUAGGCCUGGCUAGGCCUCUGCUAGGCCUAGCUAGGCCUCUGCUAGACCUGGCUAGGCCUCUGCUAGGCCUGGCCAGGCCUCUCCUCGACCUAACUAGGCCUCUCCUAGACCUGGCUAGGCCUCUCCUAGACCUAGCUAGGCCUCUCCUAGACCUGGCUAGGCCUCUGCUAGGUCUGGCUAGGCCUCUGGUAGGCCUAGCCAGGCCUCUCCUAGGCCUGGUUAGGCCUCUCCUAGGCCUAGCUAGGCUGCUCCUAGGCCAGGCUAGGCCGCUCCUAGGCCUGGCUAGGCCUCUCAUAGGCCUGGCUAGGCCUCUCAUAGGCCUGGCUAGGCCUCUGCUAGGCCUAGCUAGGCCUCCCCUAGACCUGGCUAGGCCUCUGCUAGGCCUAGCCAGGCCUCUCAUAGGCCUGGCUAGGCCUAGCUAGGUCUCUCCUAGACCUGGCUAGGCCUCUGCUAGGCCUGGCCAGGCCUCUCCUAGACCUAACUAGGCCUCUCCUAGACCUGGAUAGGCCUCUCCUAGACCUAGCUAGGCCUCUCCUAGACCUGGCUAGGCCUCUGCUAGGUCUGGCUAGGCCUCUGCUAGGCCUAGCCAGGCCUCUCAUAGGCCUGGCUAGGCCUCUGCUAGGCCUAGCUAGGCCUCCCCUAGACCUGGCUAGGCCUCCCCUAGACCUGGCUAAGCCUCUCCUAGGCCUGGCCAGGCCUCUCCUAGGCCUGGCUAGGCCUUGCCUAGGUGUCUCCUAGGCUUUGCCGGGCCUAGUUGAGACCUACCAACUGGGUGUGGCUUCAAAUGAGUCUUGUAAGAAAUGUCUUGGUGUAAAGCAGAAACAUUCUCUCAGUGGGUGUGACUCUUAUAGUCUCUAUUCAUAUCUAUAGCGUGUCCUGUCCGCCUUUGUCUCCCUCCCGUGUCUCUCUGUAUCUCUCUCUCUGUGUCUAUUUGUGUCUCCCUGUGUGUCUGUCUCUGUGUCUCUCUGUGUGUGUCUCUCUCUAUCUGUGUGUGUGUCUCUAU